rnacentral:rRNA from 1 species
GGAUGAACGCUGGCGGCGUGCCUAAUACAUGCAAGUCGAGCGAACGGACGAGAAGCUUGCUUCUCUGAUGUUAGCGGCGGACGGGUGAGUAACACGUGGAUAACCUACCUAUAAGACUGGGAUAACUUCGGGAAACCGGAGCUAAUACCGGAUAAUAUUUUGAACCGCAUGGUUCAAAAGUGAAAGACGGUCUUGCUGUCACUUAUAGAUGGAUCCGCGCUGCAUUAGCUAGUUGGUAAGGUAACGGCUUACCAAGGCAACGAUGCAUAGCCGACCUGAGAGGGUGAUCGGCCACACUGGAACUGAGACACGGUCCAGACUCCUACGGGAGGCAGCAGUAGGGAAUCUUCCGCAAUGGGCGAAAGCCUGACGGAGCAACGCCGCGUGAGUGAUGAAGGUCUUAGGAUCGUAAAACUCUGUUAUUAGGGAAGAACAUAUGUGUAAGUAACUGUGCACAUCUUGACGGUACCUAAUCAGAAAGCCACGGCUAACUACGUG